CAAGUUCUUCAAUUCAUAAUUCCUGAGUUCUUUAAUUACUUUUAUUUACAUUCAAGUUAUUUAUUGGAUUCUCGCUUGCAUCAAGUGCCCUAGUCUUUGAAACGCUAGAGUAGUAAUUAAUAGAUUAGACGUGGUGUUUAGUCUUGCAAUUACCUAGAAUUGCACCCAAUCCUGCGGAUUGUUGUGGUAGCCCUAGGGUAGUGACAGCCCUAACGGUCGAUGUAUUCCACC
rnacentral:lncRNA from 1 species